CAGCAGUCCAGCUGCUCUGUUUGGAGCAGGAGCAGCAUUCUCUCAAGGACCAAACCCGAGGAUUUUAGAACUGGCAUGCCACACAAACUUUCCUGACCGUUCUCUGUGCGUCUUCUUUUACACAAGCUUGAAGGAAUGCACAAAUGCACCUCUGCACGGUGUCAGUCCUUGGGGGAACUUGCCACGUUUGUGCAGUGGGUGCUGGUGAACAAUGUAUCAGUGUUCACCAUCAGCCUUCGAGGAGGACAUCACCAGCCCCACUCCGGACACAGAGCCUGCCGUGAUGCAUGAGCCAGCGCCAGUGAAAAGGACUGAGCCAACCAUCGCCCCGAAGCUUGAGCCCCACUGUGAGUCUGAUUAGUUGCGUGAGCCUGCUACAUCAUGUUCCCUUAUUGUCCCAUCCCCGCUGGUUCCGCCCAGCUUCAAGUCUCCUGUGUCUCUACUGGUUCUGUACAGCUCGAAGUCCCCCAUCUCAGAGAUGCCAGCCAGCCAGCCUCCCUCUCUCGCCUCCUCUUCCAAAGCCAACCAGCCCGUCGGCCCCGCAUCCGUCGGAUCCCAUCAGCUCAUCAGUACCUCCCUGGUUUACUCCAUUUUGCUCCGCGGAUGCGCCUCGGGUCUCCUGUUCUCCAGCUCUGCUUGGUCAAAUGGAUCCCCCGGCUCCACCUCCAGCCACUGAUCCCAUCACUCCACCCCGGCCCAUUGACCUAUCUGCUCUGCCUUGGCUACUCCCUCCCUUGUCUCCACCAGAGGCCAUCGUCCUUACGGCUCCUCCGGGCUCCCUCAUCCCUCUGGCUCGGCCUUGGUCAGACAUCACUCUGCCUGAGCCACGGACUUUCAAGCUCCACUUCCAUAUGACUUGUCUCCGUCAGUCAUUCCUUUGGUGUCGACAGCAAGCCUCCACCAUGGCUCCUCCCUCCCUCGACUCCGCCAUGGGCCUUUGUCCUGGCUGCCCUCUGGGUCCCCGCCUGGCUCCUCCUGCUCCUAGUUCCUCCGACCAUCAUCACCACCCUGGUUUCUCCCACCGUCACCUGCACUUGUCUCCUGCUCCACAUCGUACCGUCAACUGUGAAAGACAAGUGAGAGUUUUUCCAUACCCCUCCGUGACCGAAGAAUUCACAGUAGCAGCAAUCACAGUACUUUCCUUCCUUCUGAUUGGUUGAGGUGGAGGUGGAUGAACUGUGCUCCGAGCUGCUGUCAUCAUCUUGGCUCUCCUCUCCUUCAUAUGGCUGGUGCUCGUAGCCUCCAUUCCCUUCACAGCGAUGACCCUCACAGUCUGGAUCACUGAGAAAAACAUGCCAACUCAGGAACAUCAUACAGAAGGUAUAUAAAUACUAUAGAUGAUGUACUGACCUGCACACGCUAUUUGGGCCACUGACUAAACCAUCAACAGCGGCGGUUUGCUGCUCACCAGAUGACAAGCACAGACCCUGAUGGACAUCCAUGAAGCCUG